GACGAACGCUGGCGGCGUGCUUAACACAUGCAAGUCGAACGAGGACCCUCCUUCGGUGUGGUGUCCUCGAGGCGCACGCGUGUGUAAAACAUGUGAAUCAUGCCCUCUGCACUGGGAGAACUCCGGGAAACAGGGGGUAUUAUAGGGUACGAGCUCUACGGGUGUAUGGGGGGGGGGGGAGUUUUUCGGCUGGGGAUGGGCCCGCGGCCUAUCAGCUAGUUGGUGGGGUAGUGGCGCACCAAGGCGACGACGGGUAGCCGGCCUGAGAGGGUGACCGGCCACACCGGGACUGAGACACGGCCCAGACUCCUACGGGAGGCAGCAGUGGGGAAUAUUGCGCAAUGGGCGGAAGCCUGACGCAGCAACGCCGCGUGCGGGAUGAAGGCCUUCGGGUUGUAAACCUCUUUCGGCUGGGACGAAGCGAGAGUGACGGUACCGGGUGAAGAAGCACCGGCUAACUACGUG
rnacentral:rRNA from 1 species